rnacentral:tRNA from 1 species
GCACUGUUGGUCCAGCGGUAGGAUUCUUGCCGUAAGAAUCCCAACUCACCAGUGCAAUAUAUUCCCUCUUACUAAUAUACAUUAGUUCCAAGCAAGAGGCUCGGGUUCGACUCCCGGACAGUGCA